UGGACAUAUCACAUUGAAACACCGGUUCUCAUAUGAUCACUGAAGUUAAGCAAUGUCAAGCUUGGUCAGUACUUAGAUGGGUGACUGCUUAGGAUUAUCAGCUGCUGUAAG